rnacentral:rRNA from 1 species
UACGACCACAUCACGUUGAAACACCGGUUCUCGUACGAUCACCGAAGUUAAGCAACGUUGAACCUGGCCAGUACCUAGAGUGGUGACUGCUUGGGAAUACCAGGUGCUGUAAU